GACGAACGCUGGCGGCGUGCUUAACACAUGCAAGUCGAGCGAGGCCCCUCCUUCGGGAGGGUGUCCUAGCGGCGAACGGGUGAGUAACACGUGGGCAACCUGCCCUCAGCUCUGGGAUAACUCCGGGAAACCGGGGCUAAUACCGGAUACGACCUCCACGGGCAUCUGCGGAGGUGGAAAGUUUUUCGGCUGAGGAUGGGCCCGCGGCCUAUCAGCUAGUUGGUGGGGUAGUGGCCCACCAAGGCGACGACGGGUAGCCGGCCUGAGAGGGCGACCGGCCACACUGGGACUGGGACACGGCCCAGACUCCUACGGGAGGCAGCAGUGGGGAAUAUUGCGCAAUGGGCGAAAGCCUGACGCAGCGACGCCGCGUGAGGGACGAAGGCCUUCGGGUUGUAAACCUCUUUCAGCAGGGACGAAGCGAAAGUGACGGUACCUGCAGAAGAAGCACCGGCCAACUACGUG
rnacentral:rRNA from 1 species